CCUGUGAAACCCAAAAGAUCGAAUGAGGAGAUUCAUCGUCAAUGAAUUUGGUAUUAAUAUGAAUUAUGAUGUGAUUAUAUUUGUCUCCUUGUGGGUCAUUAUAUACAUUAUACAUAUUUAUGUUAUUAUAAUUGCUAAAUUUGUCGUCGUGCACUUCUCCUCUAGUAGGACAUCGCGACCCGUUGGGAUUUGUUGGUUUACGGCCCGAUUGUAAGCCUUUAUUGUAUAGCGUAUUUUACGUUAUUACUUUAAAGACAAUUGGUGUUUCCUAACCAUCUGCCCGACGGUAGUGAUAUGGUAUUAAGCCGCUUAUUAUAUAUUUGCGUUAAGCCCACCGCAAGUGAGACUUACUUUUAGUAGUGUGGACCUAGUGCCAUCGCUAUAAGUAGUCAGCUGUUGGUAGUGUGGUGUCUUUUAACUGGCUUUUCAUUACCUGUCAGCGAUGCUACUGCUUUGGGUACUUUCAGGACCCGUCUUGAAACACGGACCAAGGAGUCUAACAUGUACGCAAGUCAUUGGGAUUUAUUAAAAUCAAACCUAAAGGCGUAAUGAAAGUAAAGAUCGAACUUUGUGUCGAUUAAAGGAAGAUGGAUUAUAUUUCGAUAUAAUCUCGCAUUCCUGGGGCGUUUUAUUCUUAUUUAUAAGAAAAGGCGCACCUAG
rnacentral:rRNA from 1 species